CAAGUCCGGCGAUGAAGAGAGCAUUCUUGGACAGUGUAUAAUAGCCAACUGUCAUGGAGUUGCUCUCUUUACCGACUGUGGC
rfam:Lingula anatina scaffold142, whole genome shotgun sequence.